rnacentral:rRNA from 1 species
GACGAACCGUGCGAACGUUGUUCGGAAUCACUGGGCUUAAAGGGCGCGUAGGCGGCAGUUCAAGUCCGGGGUGAAAUCCACCAGCUCAACUGGAGAAGUGCCUUGGAUACUGGAUUGCUCGAGGGAGGUAGGGGUCGAGGGAACUUCUGGUGGAGCGGUGAAAUGCGUUGAUAUCAGAAGGAACGCCGGUGGCGAAAGCGCUCGACUGGACCUCUUCUGACGCUGAGGCGCGAAAGCUAGGGGAGCAAACGGG